GGAGAUGUUACUGAUGUUUCAAGCGUGGAUUCAGUCUUGCCAGCCGCAUCGGCCUUGUCUGUUGAAGUGAACUUUGACCAAACCGGUUCUAGCAUGGCGUCCCAGGAGGUCAAUAUUGCUACGAGCUGUGGGGAGGGUGUACAAGUAUGCUCUACUACACCUGACGUAGUGGUGGAUGUAGUUGCUCCUGCCAUUGCUGCUCAGUCCCCAAUGGUUGACUAUAGCCAAACCGGGAAUGGUUCCCAGAUCAGAACCAGACUUGGGCGACUUGUCAAACCUGUGAAUAGACUGAUCCAGACAAUGUCAAAUCAAGUCGUGGUUCGUGACAGGUUUGACGUGAAGUCAGUUUGUAAGCCCUUGAUCCCGUCCUUCUCUAACUAAAUGUUCUGUUUAUAUGCCUACCCGAAUGAUGGGAUUUGUACUUGCUGUUAUGUACUCUACAUUUUUUUUUCUUUCUGUUGAGCCAUGGUACACACCUUGUAAGGGGUUAUUAGUAGGGUGUAUUUCGGGCACCCUGCUGCCAGUUGCUGGGUUGGGAGUUUGGCGCUGCUCCCACCCCACUUCAUCCUUAGGGAUACGUUUAGUUGGUGUUUGUGAUUUUUGACCUCUGGUUGGUUGGUGCAUACUAGUGUGGGUACCUGGGGCUCAAAUUUGAUAAAAUUCAGUGGGGGUGAGUGUAACAGAGUUAAUAAUACAUAUGAAAAACAUGCACUUACCUGUUCUUAAUUAUCAUUUUAAGUGUGAAUUUUAUCUUUUUUUUUUUAAUUGUAUUUUAUUUUGAAAACCCAGAAACCGGAUCUCACCCUAACGUUUAGAAGCUGCUAAGGCUUCCGCUCCUCACAGCGCGCGCUUGCACUGUGAGGGUAAGUCCGGUAAUGAAAGGCUCUGGCAUUUUUAUGGUUUCUGGUGUGAAUGUUGUUACAUAAGUUAUAUAUGUCGAUGUAUAUAGGUUCAUAUUGAUAUUAGAAAGUUUCUGUGUAACUGAAACAAAGGCGGGUUGCUGUUAAAUAGUGUUUCUGCCGUAUUUAUGCUCUUUGGCAGUUAGUCUUUGUCAGCCCCCUAGUGGUUGCUGCGCAUAGCAGGAAAUGUGUUUGGAUUUACCGUUUUUCUGUGCUUUUUGUGAUGUUGCUUUACAUUGUAGGAGCUACAAUUGCCGGUACCACCAGAAGACACCUGUUGAAUGUGUUUUAUGUCUUCUGCAGAAGUAAACUGUGAAAAGCCAACCCUUCUGAGCGUCUGUGAUUCUUGAAGAGCUGGAAGUGUUACACUUGCAAUUUGU
ensembl:lncRNA